rnacentral:lncRNA from 1 species
GUCCUGUAUAGAGGUGCUCCUGCGGCAGCAGACAGCUCGUCUACCAUCUGACUAGGUACCACAAGAGUUUUUGCUUUUUUAUUUUAAAGAAAAGAUCUGCCCAUCACCUAUAUUUUUAUUUAUCUCAUGGGAUUUUCGUAUUUUCCUGGGAAUGCAGGCACUCUGUUCUUAUCAUGGCUGAAAUACGGUAGGCUUAAUACUUCACAAUUAUAUAGCACCUUUCACCCAAGGGCCUGUUGUUUGGUUUUGGUUUAUGUGUGUUUUAAUCAGCUUCCAGAAUUGCCAUGCCUCACCUGUGAAGUGGGAUAGGCAGGGUCCCCAAGAGGUGAUCACUCCAGGUGGUGUCUAAGCCAGAGCUACCACUGAGCCUAGGAGCCCUGAUCCUCAAUAUUGAUAAUUAGACAAAACUUCCUCAAAAAUGUUAGAGGAAGAGUAAUAGGAUUGUGCUACAAUGAGCCAUGUCCAUCUCUCUCCUGUUGUAUACUUAAAAGAAACACUGACUGCAUUGAGGGGAAUCCUAAAAACAUAACCCUAACAUGGCACUGUUGCAAGACUGCCCCUUGGAUCCCAUAGUUUGUGUGGUACUUUUACCACCGAAUUGUUCACUAGUGACUUUAGAGAAACUCCAGAAGAGCUGCCUUGGCUUUCAGCAAGAGGCCUAGCAAAGACCAUGGCAUGAGGUCUCCAUGAGGGACAGCCGUGUGUGAGGUCUCGACUGGGCUCUGACCAUCCCCCAGGUUUUCCAUUGUGAAAAGGUCUCCUUCUUGGUUUAGCUAACCCACCAGCAUGACCUUACAAACUCUCUUUCCUCCUCCCAUUUUGUCACUGAAUUCCACAGAGCUAAAUAUCUGUUCCAAAGAGGGACAAUGGCUCACAGGCCAAAGCCCCCCAGUAGGCACUUCAGACUGGAAUGUGAUGUUUUGCUUUGGGUCAGAAGGGCAGGAUGGCUUCCAGGCUUAGCGUAUUCAGCACAAAGACAGUAUCUGCUCUUGCCAGAACUUGUACCGCUAUUUUAACUCAGUGCAGUAGGUCUGUGGACCUCAGUGCAUGACCCAGAAGUGGGGCUGGUGUUGUGGCAGCUGAUGGGGCCCCAGACAGUGUGUGUCACUAAGAACAGCUGGAGGCCAAGUCUGGUGGCUGCAGGGAGGCUCUCUGGACCCCAUCAAGGGAGCAUCAAAGUACUAGCCAACUACUUUCUCCCCAGGGCAGGGGCUUGGCAGUAGAGAAUCCCCUCAGUAAUGGUUUGGGAUUUGACCUCCCCCCUUUGCUUCCCCCUCCCCCCUCCCCUAUCUCGGUUUUUCCUGUACAGCAACCUCCACUUCCCUCCCAGAUUCAACGGCUUCCUCCUCCCCACCCCCCAGAUCCCCAUGAACUCGUCCGGCCUUAUUUCUUUCUCAGGACCAGAUAGAGAACGCCGAUGAUGAAGCUGAAGCAGAAGCAGAUCCAGCCCAGGAUGUAGGAAUAGCCGUGGUGAUACUGCGUUCCAUCACGAUUCGCAUAAUGACUAGUGUAGAUGGACACCCCCACAAGAAUGCACAGCCAGCACACCAGUGUGGUGGCCCCUGAGAGGAAGAACCGGUUUCCCUUCUCCAUGGUGAAGAGCUGGAACACGAAGACCAGGAGGGCAAUGACACAGAAGAUGAUAGAGAGAAUCAUGAAGGCCUGCACUGUCUUGAGGGCAUCUUCACUGGCAUAUGACAGGCUGUCACUGCAGCUAAUGUUGGUACAGUUUUUCCAAAGACCUACUGAUGCAUCUACCGUAUUGGAAACCAACCAGAC